GAGUGUGAGCAUGCCUGUCGGGAC
rnacentral:siRNA from 1 species